AUUGAACGCUGGCGGCAGGCCUAACACAUGCAAGUCGAGCGGAUGAAGGGAGCUUGCUCCUGGAUUCAGCGGCGGACGGGUGAGUAAUGCCUAGGAAUCUGCCUGGUAGUGGGGGAUAACGUCCGGAAACGGGCGCUAAUACCGCAUACGUCCUGAGGGAGAAAGUGGGGGAUCUUCGGACCUCACGCUAUCAGAUGAGCCUAGGUCGGAUUAGCUAGUUGGUGGGGUAAAGGCCUACCAAGGCGACGAUCCGUAACUGGUCUGAGAGGAUGAUCAGUCAACCUGGAACUGAGAAACGGUCCCGACUCCUACGGGAGGGCACAGUGGGGAAUAUUGGACAAAGGGGGAAAGGCUGAUCCAGGCAUGCCGGGUGUGUGAAGAAGGUCUUCGGAUUGUAAAGCACUUUAAGUUGGGAGGAAGGGCAGUAAGUUAAUACCUUGCUGUUUUGACGUUACCAACAGAAUAAGCACCGGCUAACUUCGUG
rnacentral:rRNA from 1 species